rnacentral:rRNA from 1 species
GACGUAGGGCGCGAGCGUUGUCCGGAUUUAUUGGGCGUAAAGAGCUCGUAGGCGGCUUGUCGCGUCGUCCGUGAAAACCUGCAGCUCAACUGCAGGCUUGCGGUCGAUACGGGCAGACUAGAGUACUGCAGGGGAGACUGGAAUUCCUGGUGUAGCGGUGGAAUGCGCAGAUAUCAGGAGGAACACCGGUGGCGAAGGCGGGUCUCUGGGCAGUAACUGACGCUGAGGAGCGAAAGCGUGGGGAGCGAACAGG